CCGAAUAAGGUCUCUCUAGAAAGUUACGAUAUAUCUGAUCUGCAUUCAGACGACUCCACUGAUGAAGACUAGGCUCCUAAAAAUAAAGUCCCAACUUGGGCCCUAGGGGCAUCUCUAAAGGCUGCAUUAAUUCAACAACACUAUCAUCCACCGGAUUUGAAUACUCUGUUCACAGAGAUUGAGCCACCUGAUCUCAAUGAACUGUUUGUCAAGAAAAAAGCUCGAUUCAACAAGAGGACAAGUUCUGCUAUAUGGAAUUCACCGAUUCUCAAGCCUGGCUUAAAUUAAAGAACUAUAGUGUUGACUCAAUAGAAAUCUUUAUUUAAAUUGACAAUGCAUCUCUGGUUGCAUUCAGAUUUGAUGAAGCUUGCAGUAGAGUGAGUGGUUUUAUUUCACCUGUAAUGUACGCACCAGUAUGUUCACGGACAGCACACCUGUGCUAGGAUAACUUGUGUGCUAUAGUUCACGUGCUGCCACUAUAAGGUUUACGUGAGUUCACGUGUUGCCGCGAUAAGGUUUAUGUGAGUUCACGUGCUGCCGCGAUAAGGUUUACAUGAUAGUGAUUUUAUUUCUGUGAGGCAUUCUCAUGUAAGUGAUUUCUACUUAACUGUGUCGUAUCUCAUCUCACUGUACAGUUUAUGCAUCAGUCUUCGGUUUGUCAUCAUAUUUUCAUUGACAAUAAUUUAUUAGAUAUGAAAAAGGGAUAAUUAGAACUAACUAAUUAAGAUUAUAGCACCAGAUAUGUUUUCUCUCUCACUCGCCUUUCUCCCUGCUCUUUCUCUCUCCUCUACAAUAAAUUAUGUGAGAAUUCUUUAAUUUGUUUGAAAAUGUCAAAUGAUGGUGUUGCAAAAUCUACUAAAUUUAUUUCUAAGUAUUGUUGUGUAUAAACUUACUUGUAUUGCUUUCCAACUUCUAUCAUUAUGAUUAAGUCAGACUUAUUUUGUGCAUAAGACCACACAAUUGAACAUUGUUUUUUGUUUAACACAUUGUACACAAAUGCAUAUAACAAAUUAAGACUAGAAAAUAUUAAUGAAAAUUAAAUUCCAUGUUGAUUUUCAUCAUAUGAUGCAUGGAAUCCUGUGUAGAUACAGUAUAUUUAAGGAGAUCAUUGAUAAUUUUAUAUAUUGUGGACAGUGUUUCCUAUUAAAUACGUUUAAUAUUAA